CUGAAGAAGCAUCUGUAGGGAAUCCAGAAGGAGCGUUCAUGAAGGUGUUACAAGCCCGGAAGCAGCACACGAGCACUAAGCUGACUAUUGAGUCGGAGGCGCCCUCAGACAGCAGUGGCAUCAAGUUGUCAGGCUUUGGGAGUGAGCAGCUAGACAUCAAUGAUGAGAGUGAUGUGAUCAGUUUGAAAUUCAGCUAACCCAGGAGCUACGGUCCCUCAUCCCCAACGAGGAUGUGAGAAGGUUCAUGUCUCAUAUUAUCCGGACCUUGAAAAUGGAAUGUUCACAAAUGCAUGUGCAAGUGACCUGUGCCAAGCUCAUGUCGCGAACAGGACUCCUGAUGAAACUUCUCAGCGAGCAGCAGGAAGCAAAGCCAUCAAAGGCAGAGUGGGAUAUGGACCACCAGAAAUCUAAUUAUAUUAAUGAGAACAUGGAACAGAGUGAACAGAAACAGCAGAAGUCAAGUGAGCUCAUGAAAGAGGUUCCAGGAUAUGGCUAUAACAACAAACUCAUCUUGGCAAUAUCUGUGACUGUAAUACUAACAAUUUUGAUUAUAAUUUUUUGUCUUAUUGAGGUAAGGACAAUAAUUAAUUCAGGUUUUCAGAAUGCAAUCCUGUCUUUGUGUGGAUUCAGAACCCACAAACUGAAAAUCAACGUCACUUUCCCACUUGACAUUCUUCUUCUGUUGUUUAAGGCUGAGGUAGGCUUUGUUCUUUUACUGCAAUGUACAUUCCAGGAUUUUUAAAGGAUCCUCGCUUCCAGGAGAUCUCUGUGAAAUGAAACCAAGUUAAUCCCACUA
rnacentral:sRNA from 1 species